CCUCCUCCUCUCACGGGUCGCUGCGCCGCCGUCUCAGCCGCUUCUCCUGCGCCUUCUCCUCCCCGCUCCUCUCCUCAUAGCUGAGUCCUCGACCAGAUCAGCGUCCAUCUUCAGCGGCGGCGGCAUCUUCAGCGGAGGAGGCGGGUGGUCGUGGCGGCGGCAUCUUCAACAGCGACGCCGGACGAGCUCCACGCGCGGGGGAGAUAUCUCCACGGGCCCACGCAACUACGUUCCCUCGCUGACGUCGGCCUCACAAAGAAGAGGUCUAGUUCGCCCGUGCCGCCGAUGAGGGGGAGCAGCCACGCCCAAAGGAGGUCGUCCCCAAUGCCUGCAUCUAGUCGUCGACCUUAACAACACUGAAGUCGCCGCUGCUAGUCGAGGUCGCCCAGUUAAUACCGGCCCCGCCGUACUGCAGCUCAUCCUGCCCGAGGACAUGAUACGUAUUUGGCAAUGUUGGCUCUUGGGCUGCCCAAUUGAUCACUGAAGCUGGUGGCAAGGUGGUCACCAUCAGAGAUGUCACAGGGGCUGUCAAGAACUCCAAUGACAUUGACAUAGCCAAGAUGAUGAAGCACUCGGCAGAGAACUUCAGGAUCAAGGGCUUUGACGGGGGCGACGCUGUCGACCUGAUCUCGCUGCUCACGGAAGAGUGGGACGUGCUCACCCCGACAGCUCUGGGAGGAGUCAUAAACAAUUUAUCUUCUUCUCCUAGGGACAAUGCUGAUGCCAUCAAAGCAAAGUACAUCAUCGAGGCUGCUAACCACCCAACAGACCCCGAGGCCAACGAG